GAGUUUGAUCUUGGCUCAGAUUGAACGCUGGCGGCAUGCCUUACACAUGCAAGUCGAACGGCAGCACGGGAGCUUGCUCCUGGUGGCGAGUGGCGAACGGGUGAGUAAUGCAUCGGAACGUAUCCUGGAGUGGGGGAUAACGUAGCGAAAGUUACGCUAAUACCGCAUAUUCUGUGAGCAGGAAAGCGGGGGACCUUCGGGCCUCGCGCUCUUGGAGCGGCCGAUGUCGGAUUAGCUAGUUGGUGAGGUAAAGGCUCACCAAGGCGACGAUCCGUAGCAGGUCUGAGAGGAUGAUCUGCCACACUGGAACUGAGACACGGUCCAGACUCCUACGGGAGGCAGCAGUGGGGAAUUUUGGACAAUGGGGGCAACCCUGAUCCAGCCAUGCCGCAUGAGUG
rnacentral:rRNA from 1 species